AUAAGCGGAGGAAAAGAAACCAACAGGGAUUGCCCCAGUAACGGCGAGUGAAGCGGCAAGAGCUCAAAUUUGGAAUCUGGCCCCUUUUAGGGACCCGAGUUGUAAUUUGUARAGGGCGCUUUGGCGAUAGGCUGCGGCCCAAGUUCCUUGGAACAGGAUGUCGUAGAGGGUGAGAGUCCCGUACGCGGCCGCGCGCCUUCGCCUUGUAAAGCCCCUUCGACGAGUCGAGUUGUUUGGGAAUGCAGCUCUAAGUGGGAGGUAAAUCUCUUCUAAAGCUAAAUAAUGGCCAGAGACCGAUAGCGCACAAGUAGAGUGAUCGAAAGAUGAAAAGCACUUUGGAAAGAGAGUCAAAAAGCACGUGAAAUUGUUGAAAGGGAAGCGCUUGCGGCCAGACAUGCCCGCGGUCGCUCAUCCGGACCCCCCUAAUUGUCCGGUGCAGUCUCCCGUGAGCAGGCCAGCAUCGGUCUGGGCGGUUGGACAAAGGCCUCGGGAAUGUAGCUCCCCCCCCGGGGAGUGUUAUAGCCCGGGGCGCAAUGCAGCCAGCCGAGACCGAGGCCCGCGCGUCGUGCUACGAUGCUGGCGUAAUGGCCGCAAGCGGCCCGUCUUGAAACACGGACCAAGGAGUCUAACAUCCAUGCGAGUGUUUGGGUGUCAAGCCCGAGCGCGCAGUGAGAGCGAAUGGAGGUGGGAACCCCCCCGGGGGCGCACCAUCGACCGAUCCUGAUGUCCUCGGAUGGAUUUGAGUAAGAGCAUGGCUGUUGGGACCCGAAAGAUGGUGAACUAUGCCUGGAUAGGGUGAAGCCAGAGGAAACUCUGGUGGAGGCUCGCAGCGGUUCUGACGUGCAAAUCGAUCGUCAAAUCUGGGCAUAGGGGCGAAAGACUAAUCGAACUAUCUAGUAGCUGGUUCCUGCCGAAGUUUCCCUC
rnacentral:rRNA from 1 species